GAUGAAGAACGUAGCGAAAUGCGAUAAGUAAUGUGAAUUGCAGAAUUCAGUGAAUCAUCGAAUCUUUGAACGCACCUUGCACCUUUUGGACUGCUCCAAAGGGUAUGCUCGUUUGAGUGUCAUUGUACUCUCACACUCUCUGAUCCUUUGGAUUUGGGGAGCAGUGGACUUGGGUGCUUGCUGCUUCCUUGUGGCUCACCUGAAAUGCAUCAGUGCAUCUCUCGAUUGGACAUAGUACGGCGUGAUAAGUGUCUUCGCCGGCACCUCAUAUGAGGGUGGCCGAUCGGGAGCUCUGUGCUUUCAAACCGUCUUCGGACAACGCUGACAACUUGACCUCAAAUCGAGUAGGACUACCCGCUGAACUUAAGCAUAUCAAUAAGCGGAGGA
rnacentral:misc_RNA from 1 species